UAUGAGAGUGAUGAGUUGCACUAAUCAGCUGGGGUGUCUGUUGCUGUGCCGCAGCGCUCCAAUCUGAUCAUUCCUGAUGACACGCCAUUGUGCACAGGGGCCAUCUGACUCACU
rnacentral:snoRNA from 1 species